CAUACCAAUCCCUCAGAAUUCAUCGGAACCAUCGAAUCCAUAUCAAUCUGUGUCCGAUGUCAUGAAUGGAUAGGAUGGGUGGCUGCGGUGGUGGGUUGAUGAGUCGUGUAAGCGGCAUGACAACGUCUCCGCCCUUCCCUACUUUUCCAGCAUGUGCGAAACACGUGCAUAUCUCUAGUAUAAAUGCGCAAUCUCCGACUUUCUACCGUGCCCGUCAGAUAUCUCCAACCGCAAAGAGCAUUGAUCGACUCAAUAUUCCGCUUCUUUCUCUGUCGCCCCACAGAGGCUUUCCCCAGACCACCGAUAGCCACCCCAUCCUCCCAUUUCCUCCCUGAGAUCCCUACCAACGCUCGCUCCCCCAGUCUCCCUGUCCGAAAUCUCCAGUCCCAAGAGCAUUGAUCGUCUCAAGAUAGCGCUUCUUCCUCCCUCGUCCGUCAGAGGCUUUCCGCAGAUCACCGAUAGCCACCUCGACUGGGGCGGGGCAACGGGGUUUCAAGAUUCCACUAAGGUGGUGGAGAGGAACCCGAAUGAGGUUGAUCCUUUCAGGUCCUAAGAGACCAUAGGAGGUUUCGGGGAGGUUGAUUUUUGCGAACGAAUAUGUAAAGGCAAAAGCAAAUGAAUUUGAAGGUGAUCCUUGCAAGUUUUAUGCUGAGACAAGAUUCAUGUUGACAAGUUUCCUCCAGUCACUGUGGGUCUUGUCGCAAUACAAGUGGCCUGACAAACUAAAGGUUGAUUUUGUGUUUGGUGAGAUCAGACGAGCAAUAUAACUCCUCUUGUCGCAAUACAAGUGGCCUGACUCUAGAUUUUGUGUAUGGUGAGAACAGAUAAGCAAUAAAACACUUCUUUGCUCAAGUACAUAAUAAAUAGUGCCUAAUCUUACUAGUUGUUUCCGUAUUGUAAAGGUUCAUCCUCAAUUGGAACUUGGGUCAGUUUGCAAUUUUUUUUGUUUUCUCAGCUGCAGCUGGGAAAAAGCCGUGUCAGUAUCCUGGUUUUUGCUCUGGUAAUGACCCAGCGUUUUAGUUCUUCUACUUGUGUGGUUCUCUCUUGUUCCGAUCAUGAAAGAAUGGCCAUCGAGUUCUAGAACUAGUUGUGCUCAAGAUAAACAGAACUGCUGGAGUUGAUAUAUAUCUUUCCCACAUCAUGAGUUGAUAUUUAUGUAUGUCAAGGUAGCUCAGACACGUUUCCAAUCUGGGUCACAAUUUCAGUCCUGCUGCUUGGGGAAACACAUUGCUUUCUUAAUCAGAUGGUGGAAACAGAUUUUAAACUCGAUGAUUUCGUUCUACCAUUUGUCAUGCCUGCACCAGACCAUUUGGUGAUAGGAAUAUAUCUUCGAAUCUGAGUUGAAUAUAGAGUGAAUUCACACUGCA